UAAGUUUCAGGCAUUAUUCGA
ensembl:piRNA 21ur-2210 ncRNA